rnacentral:rRNA from 1 species
UUGUCCUACGGGGGGCAGCAGUGGGGGAUAUUGCACAAUGGGGGAAACCCUGAUGCAGCGACACCGCGUGGGUGAAGAAGCGCUUCGGCGUGUAAAGCCCUAUCAGUGGGGAAGAAAAAGGACGGUACCCAAAGAAGAAGCACCGGCUAAAUACGUGCCAGCAGCCGCGGUAAUACGUAUGGUGCAAGCGUUAUCCGGAAUGACUGGGUGUAAAGGGAGCGAAGACGGUUGUACAAGUCUGAGGUGAAAGCCAACG